rnacentral:lncRNA from 1 species
GAUCCUGGCUGCGGAAAGAGAACUCUUGUGCAAAAAGAGCACUGGAAAAGACAGGAGAGGCCAGAGCAGUCAUUCCAAAGUUAAAAAGACUGAGUCAAGAGGGUCGGGGCAAAUCACGGGGAAAGAAAGAGGGUUAAGUCGCAAGUAUAUUUUGAAUAAAUCACUCAAUGUGGGUGUGCAAGGCUUAUUAGAAAAACAAACGCCUGGCGGGGCGUGGUGACUCACGCUUGUAGUCCCAACACUUUGGGAGGCCUAGGCGGGAAAAUCACGAGGUUAGGAGAUCGAGACCAUCCUGGCCAACACAGUGAAACCCGGCCCUACUAAAAAUACAAAAGUGCGUAGUGGUGAUGCCAGCCUGUAGUCCCAGCUACUCCGGAGGCUGAGGCAGGAGAAUCGCUUGAUUUCGGGAGACGGAGGUUGCAGUGAGCCGAGAUCGGACCACUAAACUACACCUUGGAGACAAGAGUAAGACUCCGUGCCAAAAAAAAAAAAAAAAAGAAAAAGGAAAAACAGACGCCUCAGGAAACAAACCGUGUGGAACUAAAGGAAGAACAAUGGUUCUCUGCUUUGGUGCCAGAGUCACAAGCAGUGUUCUAGGAUGGAGUUUCCUUCUGUUGCCCAGGCUGGCAUGUGGUGCACUGCAACUUGUAUCUCCCGGGUUCAAGCGAUUCAUGUGUUUCAGCCUCCCAAGCAGCUGGGACUAUAGGCAUGCACCGCCAUGCUUGGCCUCCCAAAGUGCUGGGAUUACAGAUGUUACAUUUCAAGAAUAAUGUUGCUAUUCACCCAGCAUUUAUUGUCCAACUUACUGAUCUCCUUUGGAGCAAACAAUGACUUCACAACCAAAUCACAUUUGACAGUGACUUCAGGAGAAGUGCAGGCUUAUGUAAUUCAAACAGAGAAUUUGUGCAGAAAACGUCUCAAGUCAGGUAUAAUUAAUUCUCCUUCAUUUUGGAUAUUAAUGUUAUUAUUUCCACAAGUACAUGUCUUUACUUCCAUGAGAUCAUGUCUUUAUUUUUCAGGAGAAAAUAAAUGUGAUGUGAUAAUAAACAUUAGAAAAGAUAAGAGAAAUAUUCUAUUAUAUCCUUAA